rnacentral:rRNA from 1 species
UACGUAGGUGACCAGCGUUGUCCGGAUUUACUGGGCGUAAAGGGCGCGCAGGCGGUCGUUCAAGUCGGAUGUGAAAGCCCCCGGCUCAACUGGGGAGGGUCAUUCGAUACUGAUCGACUCGAAGGCAGGAGAGGGAAGCGGAAUUCCCGGUGUAGUGGUGAAAUGCGUAGAUAUCGGGAGGAACACCAGUGGCGAAGGCGGCUUCCUGGCCUGUUCUUGACGCUGAGGCGCGAAAGCUAGGGGAGCAAACGGG